rnacentral:rRNA from 1 species
CCCGGGUCUUGUACACACCGCCCGUCACACCAUGGGAGCGGUUCACCAGAAGUAGCUAGCCUAACCGCAAGGGGGGCGGUUACCACGGUGAGAUUCGUGACUGGGGUG